AUCUAUCUUCAGAAGGAGACUGGUCCACAUGCUGCGCUAUUUUGACUUUCUUCAGAGUAGGAUCCAGACCCCACAAUGCAUCCCCAAGCAGGAACCCAACACAGGGUCUGAGAGUGAAGAGAACACCCCCUCUGAGCCCUGUACUCCCCCUCACAAUCUAAAGGCCAAACGCAAGGAGCAGUGGGACUCUGUGGACUCCAUCUCCAACACAGUGCUAUUCGAGGAUGUUUGGAUCACCCCUAAAACAACCCACACGAAAGUGUCCCGCUUGCCCCGCCAUGACUCCACUGACUUGGUAAGCCUCACAGAAUCCUGUUUUCACAACACAAAUGUUGAGUGCAUAGUAUGAUGCCGGAGAAGAAGGCUGACGUUUUACGUGUCCCCAACCGUUGUUUUUUUGUUUGUUUAUUUGCGUUGUUUUAACUUCUUUUUUAACUUCUUUUGUACGUAAUGUUGCCGCUACUGUCUCCUAUGACCAAAAAUUACUUCUGGAUAUCAGGACUGCGAUUACUCACCACGGACUGGCAGAAUCCUUUUUCUCCUUUAACCUCUUUUAACGAGUCUGACGAGCCCGACGUGAACGAUAUACUGCUUUCUUGGGAACAGGCCCAGAUCCCUGUGAUUUGCAUGAAGAGGAGGCGGAGAAAAAGGGGCCAGAGGGCGGGCUGCCUUCUGAGAAUUCGUAGGCGAUCAAAUAAACCUCCACUUCCUUCCAUUCUGCUAGCAAAAAGAAUAAAAUAGAUGACCUAGGCGGAAGAUUAAACUACCAACAGGACAUUCAAAACUGUAUUAUCUUAUGCUUCACGGAGUCGUGGUUGAACGAUGACACUAUCAACAUACAGCUGGCUGGUUAUACGCUGUACCGGCAGGAUAGAACAGCGGCGUCUGGUAAGACAAGGGGCAACGGAUUAUGUAUUUUUGUAAAUAACAGCUGGUGCACGAUAUCUAAGGAAGUCUCGAGCUAUUGCUCACCUGAGGUAGAGUAUCUCAUGAUAAGCUGAAGACCACACUAUCUACCUAGAGAGUUUUACUCUGUAUUAUUCGUAGCUGUUUACAUAACACCACAGACUGAGGCUGGCACUAAGACAGCAUUGAAUGAGCUGUAUUCCGCCAUAAGCAAACAAGAAAACGCUCACCAAGAGGCGACGCUCCUAGUAGCCGGGGACUUUAAUGCAGGGAAACUUAAAUCUGUUUUACCAAAUUUCUAUCAGCAUGUUAAAUGUGCAACCAGAGGGAAAAAAACUCUGGACCACCUUUACUCCACACACAGAGACUCGUACAAAGCUCUCCCUCGCACUCCAUUUGGCAAAUCUGACCAUAAUUCUAUCCUCCUGAUUCCUACUUACAAGCAAAAAUGUAAGCAGGAAGCACCAGUGACUAGAUCAAUAAAAAAAGUGGUCUGAUGAAGCAGAUGCUAAGCUAUAGGACUGUUUUGCUAGCACAGACUGGAAUAUGUUCCAGGAUUCCUCCGAUGGCAUUGAGGAGUACACCACAUCAGUCAUUGGCUUCAUCAAUAAGUGCAUCGAUGACGUCGUCCCCACAGUGACUGUCACAUCCUGACGAUAGAAAGCUGUUAUUUUCUAUGGUAGUGUAGGUCAGGGCGUGACAGGUUUUUUUUCUAGUUUAGUUUUUCUAUGUUGUGAUGUUCUAGUUUUGUAUUUCUAUGUUGGGUUUUGUUUGGGAUGAUCUCCAAUUAGAGGCAGCUGGUCAUCGUUGUCUCUAAUUGGAGAUCAUAUUUAAGUAGGUGUUUUUCCCACCUGGGUUUGUGGGAGAUUGAUUUUGAGUUAGUGUAUGUUUCACCUCUGUAUCACAGUUUGUUGUUUUUGUUCUUUAGUUAUGUGUAUGUAUUGCUUAGUUUCACAGUGAAAAUAAAAUGUGGAACGACACACACGCUGCACUUUGGUCCGCUCCUUCCUACAACAACCGUGACCGUACGUACAUACCCCAACCAGAAGCCAAGGAUUACAGGCAACAUCCACACUGAGCUAAAGGCUAGAGCUGUCGCUUUCAAAGAGUGGGACUCUAACCCGGAAGCAUAUAAGAAAUCCCGCUAUGCCCUCAGACGAACCAUCAAACAGGCAAAGUAUCAAUACAAGAUUAAGAUCGAAUCGUACUGCACCAGCUCUGAUGCUCGUCAGAUGUGGCAGGGCUUGCAAACCGUUAUAGACUACAAAGGGAAGCACAGCCGAGAGCUGCCCAGUGACACGAGCCUACCAGAAGCUAAACUACUUCUAUGCUUGCUUCGAGGCAAAUAACACUGAAACAUGCAUGAGAGCACCAGCUGUUUUGGAAGACUGAUCACGCUCUCCGCAGCCAAUGUGAGUAAAUAAACAGGUCAACAUUCAUAAGGCCGCGGGGCCAGAUGGAUUACCAGGACGUGUACUACGAGCAUGCUUUGACCAGCUGGCAAGUGUCUUCACUGAGAUUUUCGACCUCUCCCUGUCUGAGUCUGUAAUACCAACAUGUUUCAAGCACACCACCACAGUCCCUGUGCCCAAGAACACUAAGGUAACCUGCCUAAAUGACUAUCGACCCGUAACACUCACGUCUGUAGCCAUAAAGUGUUUUGAAAGGCUGGUCAUGGCUCACAUCAACACCAUUAUCCCAGAAACCCUAGACACACUCCAAUUUGCAUACCGUCCCAACAGAUCCACAGAUGAUGCAAUCUCUAUUGCACUCCACACUGCCCUUUCCCACCUGGACAAAAGGAACAUCUAUGUGAGAAUGCUAUUCAUUGACUACAGCUCAGCGUUCAACAAAUCAAAUCAAAUUUUAUUAGUCACAUGCGCCGAAUACAACAAGACCUUACAGUGAAAUGCUUACUUACGAACCCCUUACCAACAAUGCAGUUUAAAAAAAAUACAGGUAAGAAUAAGAAAUAAAAGUAACAAGUAAUUUAAUAGCAGCGGUAAAAUAACAAUAGCGAGACUAUAUACAGGGAUGUACAGGUACAGAGUCAAUGUGCGUGGGGCACCGGUUAGUUGAGGUAAUAUGUUCAGUUGAAAUCGGAAGUUUACAUACACCUUAGCCAAAUACAUGUAAACUCAGUUUUUCACAAUUCCUGACAUUUAAUCCUAGUAAAAAUUCCAUGUCUUAUGUCCGUUAGGAUCACCACUUUAUUUUAAGAAUGUGAAAUAUCAGAAUAAUAGUAGAGAGAAUGAUGUAUUUCAGCUUUUAUUUCUUUCAUCACAUUCCCAGUGGGUCAGAAGUUUACAUACUCUCAAUUAGUAUUUGGUAGCAUUGCCUUUAAAUUGCUUAACUUGGGUCAAACGUUUCGGGUAGCCUUCCACAAGCGUCCCACAAUAAGUUGGGGGAAUUUUGGCCCAUUCCUCCUGACAGAGCUGGUGUAGCGGAGUCAGGUUUGUAGGCCUCCAUGCUUGCACAAGCCUUUUCAGUUCUGCCCACAAAUGUUCUAUGGGAG
rnacentral:lncRNA from 8 species